rnacentral:rRNA from 1 species
UACGUAGGGUGCGAGCGUUGUCCGGAAUUAUUGGGCGUAAAGAGCUUGUAGGCGGUUUGUCGCGUCUGCUGUGAAAAUCCGGGGCUCAACCCCGGACUUGCAGUGGGUACGGGCAGACUAGAGUGUGGUAGGGGAGACUGGAAUUCCUGGUGUAGCGGUGAAAUGCGCAGAUAUCAGGAGGAACACCGAUGGCGAAGGCAGGUCUCUGGACAACUCCUGACACUGAGGCACGAAAGCUAGGGGAGCAAACAGG